UACGUAUGGGGCAAGCGUUAUCCGGAAUGAUUGGGCGUAAAGGGCGCGUAGGCGGCUUGUUAAGUCUGGAGUGGAAGUCCUCUUUUCAAGGGAGGAAUUGCUUUGGAAACUGGCGGGCUUGAGUGCAGGAGAGGUUAUCGGAAUUCCCGGUGUAGCGGUGAAAUGCGUAGAGAUCGGGAGGAACACCAGUGGCGAAGGCGGGUAACUGGACUGCAACUGACGCUGAGGCGCGAAAGUGUGGGGAGCAAACAGGAUUAGAUACCCCGGUAGUCCCUGAGCGGG
rnacentral:rRNA from 1 species